rnacentral:rRNA from 1 species
UCGAACGAGAAAGCCCGCAAGGGUGAGUAAAGUGGCGUACGGGUGAGUAACACGUGGGUAAUCUACCUCUUGGUGGGGAAUAACCCUGGGAAACCGGGGCUAAUACCGCAUAAGCCCGAAAGGGGAAAGGUGCAAAUCGCCGAGAGAGGAGCCCGCGGCUGAUUAGCUAGUUGGUGGGGUAAGAGCCCACCAAGGCGAAGAUCGGUAGCCGGCCUGAGAGGGCACACGGCCACACUGGCACUGAAACACGGGCCAGACUCCUACGGGAGGCAGCAGUGGGGAAUCUUGCACAAUGGGGGAAACCCUGAUGCAGCGACGCCGCGUGAGCGAUGAAGCCCUUCGGGGUGUAAAGCUCUUUCGACCGGAACGAUAAUGACGGUACCGGGAGAAGAAGCUGCGGCUAACUACGUGCCAGCAGCCGCGGUAAUACGUAGGCAGCGAGCGUUG